rnacentral:rRNA from 1 species
CAGCAGCCACGGUAAGACAGAGGAUGCAAGCGUUAUCCGGAAUCACUGGGCUUAAAGCGCGUGUAGGCGGGCCGCCACGUCGGCUGCUGAAAUCCCCCGGCUCAACCGGGGAAGUGGCACCGAUACGAGCGGCCUCGAGGGGGGUAGGGGGGACUGGAACUUCCGAUGGAGCGGUGAAAUGCGUUGAGAUCGGAAGGAACGCCCGUGGCGAAAGCGAGUCCCUGGACCCUUUCUGACGCUGAGACGCGAAAGCCAGGGGAGCGAACGGGAUUAGAUACCCCAGUAGUCCCUGUCUCUUAUA